rnacentral:rRNA from 1 species
GUCUGCGGCCAUGACACACUGAACGUGCCCAAUAUCGUCUGAUCUCAGAAGCUAAGCAGGGUUGGGCCUGGUUAGUACUUGAAUGGGAGACCACCUAGGAAUACCAGGUGCUGUAGGCA